AAUACGAGAAUUAGAGUUACAUGAGACUUAGAUAGAGUUGUGAAACAUAGUGAAAUGCCUCUAUGUUCGAAUUUCAUGAAUGUAGAAAAUGACAAGAAUAUCGAGAGCAUGCACAUCGGGUUCAAGAAGACUAAAUUGAGUAGAGUCUAAAUAGACUCAUGCGUAUAGUCGAAGGUUUAGCUAUGGUGGUAGGUCAAUACGU
rnacentral:lncRNA from 1 species